rnacentral:tRNA from 1 species
GGACGUGUGGUGUACUUGGUUAACACAUUCGCCCAAUAUGCGAAAGUAUCCGGUUCGAUUCCGGGCAUGUCCU